UACGAACGCUGGCGGCGUGCCUAAUACAUGCAAGUAGAACGCAGUUGCGCACGGGUGAGUAACGCGUAUGUAACUGCCUCAUAGCGGGGGAUAACUUUUGGGAAAGAUAGCUAAUACCGCAUAUUGUGAGAUGGACCUUCGUUGUAUUGGGUAGUUGGUGAGGUAAAGGCUCACCAAGGCGACGAUACAUCGCCGACCUGAGAGGGUUAGCGGCCACAUUGGGACUCGGACACCGUCCGAACUUCUGCCGGAUGCAGACGUAGGGAAAUUUCGUCAAUGGACGGAAGUCUGAACGAGCGACGCCGCGGGAGUGAAGAAGGUGUUCGGAUCGUAAAUCUCUGUUGUUAGAGAAGCGGUAACUAACAAGGAAGGGACGGCUAACUACGUGCCAGCAGCCGCGGUAAUAC
rnacentral:rRNA from 1 species